UAAGAUUAACUCUUUGACACUUUUUGACUGGUGAGAUGGACGGCGACCGGAAAAACCAACAGCUACAGUGAGUUGUUAAAACCUUUCUUUUUAGUAAACUCUGCGAACACAAACAAAGUUUUCAAUAUUCGA